CGCACAUGCCCGAACCACCUCAGCCGCGCUUCGCGCAUCUUCUCGUCCACCGGGGCCACCCCCACCUUCUCCCGAAUAAUUUCAUUCAUAAUUUUAUCUAGCCCGGUAUGCCCGCACAUCCAGCUAAGCAUCCUCAUCUCCGCGACCCUCAUCCUCUGAACAUGAGAGUUCUUUACGGGCCAGCACUCCGCCCCAUACAGCAUCGCAGGUCUAACCACGGCUCUAUAGAAUNNN
rnacentral:lncRNA from 1 species